rnacentral:rRNA from 1 species
UACGUAGGGGGGCGAGCGUUGUCCGGAGUUACUGGGCGUAAAGGGCACGCAGGCGGUGCGGCGCGUUUCGCGUGACAGCGGAGGGCUUAACUCUCCGAGGAUGCGAAAGACGGCGGCACUUGAGGGCCAGAGAGGGACACGGAAUUCCGGGUGGAGUGGUGAAAUGCGUAGAGAUCCGGAGGAACACCUAUGGCGAAGGCAGCUCGCUGGGACGGUACUGACGCUGAGGCGCGAAAGCGUGGGGAGCAAACAGG